rnacentral:rRNA from 1 species
GGAAUGCGCGGUGUAGCGGUGAAAUGCAUAGAUAUCGCGCAGAACUCCGAUUGCGAAGGCAGCAUGCCGGCUCCACACUGACGCUGAGGCACGAAAGCGUGGGUAUCGAACAGGAUUAGAUACCCUGGUAGUCCACGCAGUAAACGAUGAAUGCUGGCUGUCCGGGGGGACUGACCCCUGGGUGGCGAAGCGAAAGCGAUAAGCAUUCCACCUGGGGAGUACGCCGGCAACGGUGAAACUCAAAGGAAUUGACGGGGGCCCGCACAAGCGGAGGAACAUGUGGUUUAAUUCGAUGAUACGCGAGGAACCUUACCCGGGCUCAAACGGGGAGUGGCGCAGGCAGAGACGCCUGUUUCCCACGGGACACUCCCCGAGGUGCUGCAUGGUUGUCGUCAGCUCGUGCCGUGAGGUGUCGGCUUAAGUGCCAUAACGAGCGCAACCCCCGCGUGCAGUUGCUAACAGUCAACGCUGAGGACUCUGCACGGACUGCCGGCGCAAGCCGCGAGGAAGGCGGGGAUGACGUCAAAUCAGCACGGCCCUUACGUCCGGGGCGACACACGUGUUACAAUGGGUGGUACAGCGGGAAGCCAGGCGGCGACGCCGAGCGGAACCCGAAAUCCACUCUCAGUUCGGAUCGGAGUCUGCAACCCGACUCCGUGAAGCUGGAUUCGAUAGUAAUCGCGCAUCAGCCAUGGCGCGGUGAAUACGUU